rnacentral:tRNA from 1 species
GGCGUGGUGGCAGAGUGGUUGAAUGCAGCGGUCUUGAAAACCGCCGUACCUUAACGGGUACCGUGAGUUCGAAUCUCACCCACGCCG